CUCCGGUUUAUUAGACAUUUGGUCUAAAUAUAUAUAGGGUUUUGGUAACCCAGGUUAGUAUCUAAGAUAGAUACAGGUUUUUGAGACCAUAAGAGGUCUCCGGUUUAUUAUAGGGUUUUGGUAACCCAGGUUAGUAUCUAAGAUAGAUACAGGGUAUCUCAGGUAGAUACAGGUUUUUGAGACCAGAAGAGGUCUCCGGUUUAUUAAGUCUAUAGGUGUUCUGAGCAGCACGGUUUGUAGAUCUAUAAGUAUAACCCAAACUUCUCUUUCUCCCGGUCACCUUUGUUUGUCUUAAGUGUUUUUUGUGGGUGAUUGUUUGUCUAUAUUGGGGACACACUUUGGUAAGUUAGUAGUGUCCCCACUCUGAGUCAGCAGUAUGGGAAAUGUGAGUUCAUGUC